UACAGAGGGGGCAAGCGUUGUUCGGAAUUACUGGGCGUAAAGGGCGCGUAGGCGGCCUGCUAAGUCGAACGUGAAAUCCCCGAGCUCAACUCGGGAACUGCGUCCGAUACUGACAGGCUUGAAUCCGGGAGAGGGAUGCGGAAUUCCAGGUGUAGCGGUGAAAUGCGUAGAUAUCGGGAGGAACAUCAGUGGCGAAGGCGGCCUUCUGGUCCAGUACUGACACUCAAGUGCGAAAGCGUGGGGAGCAAACAGG
rnacentral:rRNA from 1 species